GAUGAAGAACGUAGCGAAAUGCGAUAAGUAGUGUGAAUUGCAGAAUUCAGUGAAUCAUCGAAUCUUUGAACGCACAUUGCGCCCCUUGGUAUUCCAUGGGGCAUGCCUGUUCGAGCGUCAUUUGUACCUUCAAGCCUUGCUUGGUGUUGGGUGUUUGUCUCGCCUCUGCGCGCAGACUCGCCUCAAAACAAUUGGCAGCCGGCGUAUUGAUUUCGGAGCGCAGUACAUCUCGCGCUUUGCACUCAGAACGACGACGUCCAAAAGUACAUUUUUACACUCUUGACCUCGGAUCAGGUAGGGAUACCCGCUGAACUUAAUCAUAUCAAUAAGCGGAGGA
rnacentral:misc_RNA from 1 species